rnacentral:rRNA from 1 species
UCGGGAAUUUUGGGCAAUGGGGGAAACCCUGACCCAGCAACGCCGCGUGAAGGAUGAAGUAUUUCGGUAUGUAAACUUCGAAAGAAUAGGAAGAAUUAAUGACGGUACUAUUGAUAAGGUCCGGCUAACUACGUGCCAGCAGCCGCGGUAAUACGUAGGGACCAAGCGUUGUUCGGAUUUACUGGGCGUAAAGGGCGCGUAGGCGGCGCGGUAAGUCACUUGUGAAAUCUCUGAGCUUAACUCAGAACGGCCAAGUGAUACUGCAGUGCUAGAGUGUGGAAGGGGCAAUCGGAAUUCUUGGUGUAGCGGUAAAAUGCGUAGAUAUCAAGAGGAACACCUGAGGUGAAGACGGGUUGCUGGGCCAACACUGACGCUGAGGCGCGAAAGCCAGGGGAGCAAACGGG